GCUUAGUUGGUCGGAGCAUUGGUGCGUAAAGCCAAAGGUCCCGGGUUCGAUUCCCGG
rnacentral:tRNA from 1 species